AGAGUUUGAUCCUGGCUCAGAUUGAACGCUGGCGGCAUGCCUUACACAUGCAAGUCGAACGGCAGCACGGGGGCAACCCUGGUGGCGAGUGGCGAACGGGUGAGUAAUGCAUCGGAACGUGCCCAUUAGUGGGGGAUAACUAGUCGAAAGACUAGCUAAUACCGCAUACGCACUAAGGUGGAAAGCAGGGGAUCGCAAGACCUUGCGCUAUUGGAGCGGCCGAUGUCCGAUUAGCUAGUUGGUGAGGUAAAGGCUCACCAAGGCGACGAUCGGUAGCUGGUCUGAGAGGACGACCAGCCACACUGGGACUGAGACACGGCCCAGACUCCUACGGGAGGCAGCAGUGGGGAAUUUUGGACAAUGGGGGCAACCCUGAUCCAGCCAUGCCGCGUGUGUGAAGAAGGCCUUCGGGUUGUAAAGCACUUUUGGCGGGAACGAAACGGUCUGUGCUAAUACCACGGACUAAUGACGGUACCCGCAGAAUAAGCACCG
rnacentral:rRNA from 1 species